UUUUUUUUUUUUUUUCCAUGGCCUUAUUGCUCUAUAAGUGUAUAUGCAUAAUACUCAAUGUCAAAAAUGAAGGUGAUUUAUCUAAAAAUAAGUUUGAGACAGGCCUGUGUUUUGCUGGUACAUUGGUAUUUGAAGACCUAGUUUGAGAUUAGUCGAUUGUCAUCCUGUUUAAAACGCUUGCUGUCUAUUCACUUAAUGGAAGAUCACAUAAUAGUUAACAUUUUUGCUUGUUCAUUGAACAGUAUUACAGUGUGAUUUCUUCUGUGUAAGCUGCAUGACAGGACUCUCAACAAGCAGGACAAACAUACUUGCUUGUAUUCCUAAUGUGUAUCUUGCUUUGAUGUUCAUCUUUCUUGUUAGUCAAAGGAUCAAAAUAAAAUCUUUUCAAGGUAAUUGACUUAAUUUACUCUGCAUGUGUAGCAUGGCUGUACUACUAAAAGCAUGCUCAGUAGCCAGCUCUGACAACUCCUUAGGAGUUUUUCAUAUCAAUCCUUCAAAUGUUAAAGAUAAUUGUAAAUUAAUUAGGGAGGCUUUUCUUGUCUCUGAUUGCUGCAAAUACAGUUCUUGAACAUAAGAUCUAGAAGUUCAUUUUGAAGACAUUAAGAAGUAGAUGCACUGUUUGUGAUUCCUGACUAAAUGAACAAUCUGACAUGCAAUUCUACUUGAGACAUGGAUGCUUUUAACUGGAAAUCCUUUGCAAUUGGAAAGGCUGGACUGUGGAUGAUCUCUCUCACAGUGACCAAGUGCUCUCGAAGAUGUCAGAUGGUCCCCUCCAUCCCUCCAUAAAGAAACUGCUACCAAGUUUAGCACAGGUAUUUAAAUAUUGCUUUCAAGUUAGCCUGUUGGGAAACUGAAUUCUGCAGUGUUUUUAUCAAAACCUGGUCCUUUUUGAUGUAUAGGAAUUAUUACGUAUGCAGCAUGUAUGAAAUGUGUCUUUUGAAACAGCUCAAAUUUGCAAUGCAUGUAGUCCUAUUAUUUCUAACUGCUUGCAACUAUGUGCAGCUUGUGUUAAAGUAACACUGAGGCAGCAAAAACAUAUGGACUGUCAGUCUGUUUAGGGCAGCAUACUUCUGUCCCUUAUAAAAAUAUUUUUAUUAUCA
rnacentral:lncRNA from 1 species